GUCACUCUCUCUGGAGUACAGAGACUUUCCUACAAGAACCAUCCCUGCCCUGGGGGCAGCGGCUCCUCAGCUUAGGAACUGCUGAUGAAGAGCUCCAGGCCACUGCUGUCCAGCCUGCCAGCCUGGAAGGAGCUGGUUCCUGCAGGCGUGGGGGUUAGAGACCAGUGUUUGCUCACAACACAUGGUUGGUAAGGAAAUUUUUUUUUCCCUCCUCAAGCUUACCCUGGAGCCUUUCCAGGAGAGAGCCACACAGGGAAUCAUCCACGGAAGGAGAGGGGAGGUGUCAGGAAGACAAAGCUCAGCCAAGCGUCUCCAGAAGGUUCCAAGGGGAAGCCUGCGAGAGGCCAAGUCCAGUGCCAGGGAGGUGCGCCCAGGCCAGCGACCUCGCCCUGCACCUUCCCUCCUGCCUGCUGUCUUCCUCCAGUCACUGUUCUGUGACAGUAACUGCAGAUGGAAGAUGACUAACCCGCUCCCGGGCAGAGACCGGGGCUCGAGGAGCGAUGGAGAAGCCCCCGCCCCCACCCACAGCAUCCUCACAGACAUUCAGAAACCAAGGCUUCAAUGACUGGCUCUUUUAUUUUCUUCCUCGGUCAGCUCCACUGAGCAUUCCUACAGGCACAGAGGGAAAAGUCGUUGCAUCUCUAAAGCUCAAUCUGCCGAAAAUAUAUAUUCUGUGAACUCAUGCCAUGGCCUUGGAGAGAAGGCAAGCACUGGAAAUGAACUCAAGGUCAGAGCUGAACGUGAACCUGAAACAUAGCACGGCAAGGCUUUGCAGAGGGCUGGGGUGACCCGUGAGGUCGGAAAUACUCAAGUCCUGUGAGUGAGGUCGCAGACGGAAAGCUGGGGUGCAGUCAGUGGCUCUCAAUCUCCUGCUUGAUUUCAGAGAUGUACGGAUGGUCCUUGCCGUGAGCUACCUCCAUGAUGGCAAUGGCCUAGGGCAGAGCAAAGGACAUGGGGCGGAUGAGCGCGACAUCUGACAUCGCUGCUGCCUGUCCCACAGUCCCAGCCCAGCAGGGGUGCAUGCUGCCCGUCAGUGCUUCAGAGCCUGGCAGGCAAACCACCUCUCACAGGCUCCUCCUCACCCUGCAAAGACACUCGUAGGAGACAAAGAAGGGCUCACGUCAUCCCCACACGCUCUGAACCCACUGUUCUAGGCGUUUUGGACGCCAUGGUGCUUUCCAAUGGUGACCUAACCAGGUGCUCUUCCCUAGUGUCACUGAGAAAACAGAUGUGACAUCAACAGAAGGGACCCUGGGCCUUCAAUCUCCACAGACACUUUGGGAGAUGUGGGGACUGGGCUAGUCUGUGGCUGCAGUAUUUAUUUAUUUGUACAAAGUGAAGCAACAGAUCAACUCUGAAGUCACACUGUGCUGUUAACGUCCAUGUAAAACACAAGGAGAUUCCAUAUCUCAGGAGGGGGAGUCCGUCUCCAUGAGGGGUUCUCCACAGACAACAGGCUGGGGAAUCCUUGGAGCUCAAUGCAGACUGGCCUGACCUAGUCUGUGACCUGCAGGUCAGUGAGAGCCUGACGACCAUGGGGACCGUCCUGAGGAACUAUACCUGAGGUCGUCUUCUUGCCCCCAUAUUUAUAAGCACACCUGUAUGCGAGCAAGCACAGGCACACGCACUAGAUGGUAAACUCGUGGGAGUCCCUGCACUUUCUGCACAGGCGUUUCGGUCCCAGCAUGGCUGAUGAGAUUAAAGCUUCCAGCGUCAAAGGUCCUAUAUGAAGGACCACCACGCACCCUAGACUCCUCAGGUAACUCUCUGGAGCCGUCCCCAUCCGGAAAGGCUAUCUCAAUACUGUAAAUAUGACUGGCUUUGAUGAAUGGGGAUGGUGGUUAAGUUCAUUUUAGAAUUUCCCCAGGCCACGCAAUCACACUGAGUGGCCCUCCAGAUCCAACCCUUUGACUUUAGACUAGGUAUUGGCCUCUCGGUCCUAGAGUAGAACUCUUCUCACAGCAAUCCUAGCUCAGCCCUCUUGCUUCGUGCGCUCCUAUCCAGAGGGCCUGGGCUAGACCAAGUGUAAGGCACCCCAGGAUGACAUGACCAGAGGGUAGUCCACAGCGAGUCACCCUCAGCUUCUGCAGCCACUGGCCUCCCAGGGCACAAGGGCACUUGAGAAGCAGACCUGACUAACUGCUUGGACGCCCGGCCUUAAGCCCCAAACGUACCUUCUUCAGGGCCUUCUCGCCGGCCGCUUUGUUUUCCAGACCCAUGUACAGUCUUCCCAGCUUCAGCCACAUGGAAGCCACGUUGAGGGAGUACACGGGGUAGUGCUUACUGGGAAGGGAGAGAUGGCAGGUCACCAAGUCAGAGUCUGCCGGGCUCUCCCCAAAGCCCACCCGGUGCCGGGUAGAGUGUGAGGUGGGCUAGUGUGCACUAUCAGAGGCACUGUGAAUGCCCCGCCACCGUUUCCUUUUGGAUGAGGCUGCAUCAAAACUGAUGGGGAAAUCUUACCGUGAAGCACGCAUCAACACAACUUCAGCCCUAACCCAGACUCGUCUGUUUCAGCUGUCCUCAGACCAAGGCGCCAGGGAAAUGUCAGAGCAAAUGUUGCUUCCACACAGACGGCAAAAAGGCCUCCUCCCUCCCACUAGGCAGACAGGACACACACGUCACACGCAUGUGCACACUCACAUAUAUCUGAGGAACCCAACUGUCUGCUAAACCCUGAGCCCUCUGAUUUCUUGGUCUAACUGUCUGUCUGUCUUGCUCUCGCUCUCACUCUGCUCUGCUGCCUAGCAGAACUGUGCGUCCAGUUCAGGUUUUCUCUCUGGUUUAAACUGAGGUCUGCCUGAUGGAGUCUGCUCAAGAGCGACCCAUUUUCCUGGGAACAGAGCCCAGAGCCCAGGAUACAGCUGUUGUGGGUGAGUGAGUGUGCAAAUGUGGAAAAUGUGCAUCCUCCAGGCCAGUGUGCUCUAUUCUGUCUAUGUUGACACUCUGUCCCAAAGACUGAAGACAGAAUUCCCAGGCAGGAGGAGGCGUGCUGCCUACAGGAAGCCUUGGGUCGUGUAGCGCCGACCACCGUCCCCACAAAUCUGAGGCCUGGGAUGCUGUCUGCCUGGGUCCCUCUCUGAGAGGAAGGUUUGAGGCAGGGGAAAGGUCAGAGGUCUCCAACUUGGUUCAUUCCAGGAGCAAGUUUGAACACCUGGCGUCCUCUUUGGCUCCCCCUGCUGGCUCUCCAGAGCACAGUGGGUAAACAGAUGGCAGAGAUCAGGGGAUGUGGGGGCCGACCUCACUGCAAGUUUCCAGUCCUCUUGGACUCACCAUGAUCACCAGACAUGUUCUGGGGGAGGGGACUUCCAGCCUAAUGCUCACACUGCUCCAUAGCUCAUCCCCCUAGUGUGCAGGCCUUGGGGAGCUCUGCAGUGAGGGGUCUCAGCCUCGGAGUGGCUGGCCACACACAAUGACAGUGCUGUGCAUUCCUACCUCCCACAUUAACGUCUGGUGACCCGCUAGGAUGGACCAUUUCUCUGGCUCAGUCAUUAUUUCUACAAAUGGGAAUCUCAUCUUGUUUUAUUUGACUGAGCCAAACCGUGAGUCCUAGAGGCUGGUGAAAUGCAGCUGGGAUUGCAGUGUGCGGAGGCAGCAGGCAGUGUGUGGGAGGAGGUUGGGAAGGAGGCUGUGGUACGCCCCCGCCCUCUGCCUCCACUCACCAGGUCAAAAGUGUCACUUAACACAGAAGAGGCAGGUGGGCACAGAUGUGAACGACUGACUGACUUUCUAACCCUGGCCUGAGGGGACUUCUGUGGGUAGCCUGUGACACUCUGCCUCAGGAGGGAGCUCCCUGGCAGGACAGAGGAGGCCAGCUCGGUGGGGAGAAGCCCGGACCUGCAUGCAGAUGUGCUCACCCCGAGCAAGCCACCCAGUUCCGCCCGGCGCUCACCUGUACGGCUUAAUGAUCUUCUGCCCGUAUUUCAGGGCUCCCUCCCAGUCCUGCAUGUACAGGCAGACGCCCAUGGCCUGGUACAUCAUGUGCAGCAUGUACACAUUGCUGUCCUCAAACACGGAGCUCAUCUUCUCCUGGCUAAGCUCGCAGAUCUCCAGCAGCUCACUAGGGGGUGCUGAAGCGUCAAGGAAACAGGCAGCAUCCCAGGUGGGGCGGGGCAUCCCAGGCAGGGGCGGGGCAUCCCAGGCAGGGGCGGGGCAUCCCAGGCAGGGGCAGGCUGGGCCAUCUCCUCCCCUCCACCCACCCUCCCCUCCCUCCUGGGUAAAGUAUUGAUGGGGAAAAUGAAGUCAAGGGAAUCGAAAUUCCCUUGAAGAAACAAACUAGGGAAACACAAAGAGAGGCCUUCUUGGCCCUGCGGACGGACCAACGGCGAGGAUGGAGUCCUUCAUCUUCGCUAAAUUCAAAUCCUCAUCCAGGCUGGGGGCCUGAGCAACCCAGUACCUCACGUGAGGAAGCUGUGCUGGCACAGAAACUUUUUCCAAGUGCAGAGAGCAACCCUAGCCCAGGCUCCCAAGAGGUUUCUUGCAUUAGGAAGCAAUGUGCCUCAAGGGCCUCAGGGUGCAGGCUGCCACUCUGGCUGUUCAGGAGGCCAAGGAGUUAGGAACUCAAGUUCAAAGCCUGCCUGGGUCGUGGAAGGUGUCCACUAUCAGCCUGGACCAUGCCUUGAAAACAUGACAUGUUUCAAAAUAAAACCGGAAGGCUUCAGGCAACACCUGAGUUACUGCUCAGCCUAUCAUCCUCCUGCGUGUUCUCAACGAGCCACUGGGU
rnacentral:lncRNA from 1 species